rnacentral:rRNA from 1 species
UACAGAGGUCUCAAGCGUUGUUCGGAUUCAUUGGGCGUAAAGGGUGCGUAGGUGGCGCGGUAAGUCGGAUGUGAAAUCUCGGAGCUUAACUCCGAAACUGCAUUCGAUACUGCCGUGCUUGAGGACUGGAGAGGAGACUGGAAUUUACGGUGUAGCGGUGAAAUGCGUAGAUAUCGUAAGGAAGACCAGUGGCGAAGGCGGGUCUCUGGACAGUUCCUGACGCUGAGGCGCGAAAGCCAGGGGAGCAAACGGG